rnacentral:rRNA from 1 species
CAGCAGCCGCGGUAAAACAGAGGGUGCGAGCGUUAAUCGGAUUUACUGGGAGUAAAGCGUGCGUAGGCGGCUUCUUAAGUCGGAUGUGAAAUCCCUGAGCUUAACUUAGGAAUUGCAUUCGAUACUGGGAAGCUAGAGUAUGGGAGAGGAUGGUAGAAUUCCAGGUGUAGCGGUGAAAUGCGUAGAGAUCUGGAGGAAUACCGAUGGCGAAGGCAGCCAUCUGGCCUAAUACUGACGCUGAGGUACGAAAGCAUGGGGAGCAAACAGGAUUAGAUACCCGCGUAGUCCCUGUCUCUUAUAC